GUGUGACGUCAUCAGACGGCGCCGCUUCAGCGCUGUAAUUCAGCUGGAGUAAGGAUAAAGUGUCCAAACACAGAGAAAAACUCCUCCAGAAUCGACUGAUCUCCACACUGUUAUAAAGAUGGCGUUUAUUAAAGAGGAGAGUGAAGACGUGAAGAUUGAAGAAAUAUUCAGAAUCAAACAGGAAGAUCCACAGGAACAAACAGACCUGAUAGUGCUGAAAGAAGAGACUCAUCACAUGAAUGAAAUGGAAGAGAAACAACAAGAAAUAAUGAAUGAUGUAAAACCUACACUGACUAAAAAGACUUCAUCACGCAGAAGACCUCGGAAAUCCAAGUCUAGGUGUAAUUAC